AUGGUGGGCCCCUUGAGGACAGGUCGAAGCGGUUUCACGCAUGUACUGGUGGCAGUCGACAAGUUCACCAAGUGGAUCGAGGCUAAACCCAUCAAGAACCUUGACGCUGGUACUGCCGUUAGCUUCAUCAGGGAACUGAUAUUCAGAUAUGGAGUCCCGCACAGCAUCAUCACAGACAAUGGAUCAAACUUCGACUCGGAGGAAUUCAGAGAGUUCUGCACAUCUCAAGGCACACGAGUCGACUAUGCUUCGGUCGCCCAUCCACAGUCGAAUGGACAAGCAGAGCGAGCCAAUGGCUUGAUCCUCAAGGGAUUGAAACCCCGACUGAUGCGUGAUCUCAAGCAUGCGGCUGGAUCAUGGGUCGACGAACUUCCCUCAGUGCUUUGGGGUCUG
rnacentral:rRNA from 1 species